rnacentral:lncRNA from 1 species
UGCAAGAUGGAGAUGGAUUAUGUCAACCCUAAAAAACGACUCAUCGACAAGGUGUUGAGGUGAUGUUGUUGAAAGGGGUCAAACAUUCGUCAAGUUAUAUACAACAAAAGGCCCGUGGCAACGCACGGGCCUUGCAAAAAUAACCGAAGGUGCGCUUUCUAUGGAACAUUGAAAUAUAUUUUUCCUUGGGUGAAAUAUGUAUAGUAUUUUUGGUUACUCAGCCAUAGAUGUUAUGUUUGUUGUGUUUCAGAUCCCGUCAGUUAGUUCAAGCAGCAUGAUUGUUUCUUACUCAUGGUCUGUAAAUUGUGGGACUAUUGUUUAUUUCUGUGACGCAGCAAAAUGCAAUUGGAAUGUGAGUCUAGACAAGGGAGUUAUUGCCUUGAAAGACUAUCAUUUUUUUCUUAUCUGCGGGUGAGGAAGUUCGAGAAGAACAAGAAGAUGUCAGAGUUUACGACGCAGUUGGACUCCAUUGGGUUUAAGAUAGCCGAGAUCACUGUGGAUGGCAACUAAAUGUAAGACCAUUGAUCGAUUCUUCUCCCCCUCCUGAAAUCCUUCUUGCGAGCUUCUAUGUUGCAUCCAUGUACAACCAAUUGUUUUAUUGAUGUGUGCUCUUGUUCAUUUCUUAACUACGAUUAUGGUGUGGUGAUCUAGAGCUAUUUGGAAGAGCUCAGGGGCGAGGAUGCUAGAGAGAGAUCUGAUGCAGCAAGAGACUCCUUUGUGGCCGACUUGCUUUAGAUGUUGAGAAGAAUGCCAACAAAGGGUCUGACAAAAAACAAAUCCCAUGAGAUAUCAUAGGACGACAAGAAUGUUGGAUUCUCGGAGAUCUAAGGAUCUCAUAACUUGUUCGCCUGCUUCUUUUUUGAGUUUUCAGUUAUCCUUUAUUUCCUUGCUUAUGUCAUCUCUUUGAUAUUUGUCUCUUUCUAAAAUGAGAAACAAGGGCUUUAUGUCCUUUUCCUUUUCCAUUAAUGGAUUUCACACAACAAUAAUAGGAAAUAGUUUCAGUGUUCUCAACUCUUUGUUGUUGCUUUUCAGAGAGUAUUUUCCUCGGAUGGGUAUUAUCUGACCCAUGUUUUCUUUGUCAAUGAAAAAUCGGUAAGCAUUUUACAAUUGAAUGUCUGUUUUUUGUACAUCAUGGUUACAAUUUGCGGUUAAAUUACAAUUAAUUAUUUUUUAUUCAACUAAAAGUAACACUAUUUUAUUGUGACAUGAAUGUGUAUAGUUCAUCUAAAUUUGGCCCAAUACUUGAAAUAGCUGAUGUUCAAGUUGUCAGGUAGUAUCGAUUUUCAGGAUUUAUACAUCAAAGGUUUUAAAACAUUACUAUAUUGCAUACCAAGUAUAAUGUUAUGCAUAGAAAGAAUAUGAAACUAAUUAGAUGAGUUCCCGUGUCACUAAUUUGUGAUCUUAUUACAUUGUUCAGGUUCUGAUUUCAUUUGUUGAGCUAUUUUAAUUUCUUUUCAUGCGAGCAAUGAAAACACUUUAUGACUGGUACUAUGUAGAAAUUUUAAUCCGUUGGUUGUGGAAUCCUGGUGGUGAUUUGGAUUUCUUCACUAAAUUCUGAUAGACUUCCAUUUUGGGGGCUGUCUGUUUUGACUCCAUGUGCUAUUUUUUGUUACCGAUUGGAAAAUACAAUGUCUUACUCUUCAUAUAAAUAGACAUGAGACUUAUUGAGAAUUUUAUCUGCAGCGUGUGUUCUCAUACUUUCACAUGAAAUCUUGAAGGAAAGUAGACCCAAGGCUAUGUGGAUGGCAGCGGUUGCUCGGAGAAGAGAAUAAGCAGGGGUGCGAGGGAGUGAUGUGGACUGCGGAACGGAAGGAAGGGGAGGGAAGCUGCGUCCCUGAACUAUGCCCAUAGCUUUACAUCAAACUUCAUUGCAACUCUUGUUAGAUCCUAGCGGAUUAGUAUGAUUUUGGGUGCUGAAAGAAGCUGGCACUAUCAUGGACAUGUUUGUCUCGGGGCCCCUUCAGGAAUUUGCAGUUACCCCAUUAAUGAGUUUUAGUUAAUUAAUAUUCUAGGUUUCAUUGUGCCCCAGUUUCCUCUUGGGACGUUGGCCCUGAGGUGCGAACUCCAUCAUCCAUGUCAAUAUAAGGAUUGUGUGACUUAGCUCUUUUUCGAGUUAUCUCGUACAUGACCCAGUGAAGUAAAC